rnacentral:tRNA from 1 species
UUUAUAUAAUUUAUAUAAAAUAUUAAUUUUGUAAAUUAAAUAAAAGUUUUACUUUAUAAACA